CAGCCGCCACGGUAAUACGGAGGGAGCUAGCGUUGUUCGGAAUUACUGGGCGUAAAGCGCGCGUAGGCGGUUACUCAAGUCAGAGGUGAAAGCCCGGGGCUCAACCCCGGAACUGCCUUUGAAACUAGGUGACUAGAAUCUUGGAGAGGUCAGUGGAAUUCCGAGUGUAGAGGUGAAAUUCGUAGAUAUUCGGAAGAACACCAGUGGCGAAGGCGACUGACUGGACAAGUAUUGACGCUGAGGUACGAAAGCAUGGGGAGCAAACAGGAUUAGAUACCCCCGUAGUCCCUGUCUCUUAUAC
rnacentral:rRNA from 1 species